CCUACGGGUGGCAGCAGUGGGGAAUAUUGGGCAAUGGAGGCAACUCUGACCCAGCAACGCCGCGUGAAUGAUGAAGGUCCUCGGAUUGUUAAGCUCUGUGUUGGGGGAUGAAAACAAUGACGGUACCCCAAUAGCAAGCCACGGCUAACUACGUGCAAGCAGCCGCGGUAAUACGGAGGUGGCAAGCGUUAUCCGGAUUGACUGGGCGUACAGGGUGCGUAGGUGGUUUAGUAAGUUGGCGGUGAAAUUCCGGGGCUCAACCUCGGCGCUGCCGCCAAAACUGGUAGGCUAGAGUGCAGGGGGGGUAAGUGGAAUUCGUAGUGUAGCGGUGGAAUGCGUAGAUAUUAGGAAGAACAUCAGGGGCGAAGGCAGCUUACUGGACUGUAACUGACACUGAGGCACGAAAGCGUGGGGAGCGAACAGGAUUAGAUACCCGAGUAGUC
rnacentral:rRNA from 1 species